CGAAGGGUGCAAGCGUUACUCGGAAUUACUGGGCGUAAAGCGUGCGUAGGUGGUUGUUUAAGUCUGCUGUGAAAGCCCUGGGCUCAACCUGGGAAUUGCAGUGGAUACUGGGCGACUAGAGUGUGGUAGAGGAUAGUGGAAUUUCCGGUGUAGCAGUGAAAUGCGUAGAGAUCGGAAGGAACAUCUGUGGCGAAGGCGACUAUCUGGGCCAACACUGACACUGAGGCACGAAAGCGUGGGGAGCAAACAGGAUUAGAUACCCUGGUAGUCCACGCCCUAAACGAUGCGAACUGGAUGUUGGGCACAACUUGGUGCCCAGUAUCGAAGCUAUCGCGUUAAGUUCGCCGCCUGGGGAGUACGGUCGCAAGACUG
rnacentral:rRNA from 1 species